rnacentral:rRNA from 1 species
CAAUAGCGUAUAUUAAAGUUGUUGCAGUUAGAACGCUCGUAGUCGGAUUUCGGGGCGUUCCGACCGGUCUGCCGAUGGGUAUGCACUGGCCGGAGUGUCCUUUUUGCCGGAGACCGUGCCUACUCUUAACUGAGCGGGGGCGGGAGACGGCACUUUUACUUUGAAAAAAUCAGAGUGUUUCAAGCAGGCAGCUCGCUCUUGCAUGGAUUAGCAUGGGAUAAUGAAAUAGGACUUUGGUGCUAUUUUGUUGGUUUCGAACACCGAAGUAAUGAUGAGAAGGGACAGUCAGGGGCACUCGUAUUCCGCAGAGAGAGGUGAAAUUCUCAGACCCGCGGAAGACGAACCACUGCGAAAGCAUUCGCCAGGGAUGUUUNCACUG